rnacentral:rRNA from 1 species
GACAGAGGGUGCAAACGUUGUUCGGAUUUACUGGGCGUAAAGCGCGUGUAGGCGGCUUGGCAAGUCGGAUGUGAAAGCCCACGGCUCAACCGUGGAAGUGCACUCGAAACUGCUUGGCUAGAGUCUUGGAGAGGAAGGCGGAAUGCUUGGUGUGGAGGUGAAAUUCGUAGAUAUCGAAGCGGAACACCGGUGGCGAAGGCGGC